UUCACUCCGCUUCCUGUUACCUAGCAAUGUAAACGUAGGUAUUCUAGCUUCUGUUGGUGUAACAAGCCACUCUAAAAACCAAGGGAGUCGAACAUCUGUUUCAUAUGGUCAUUCAUUCUGCGGGUUGGACAGGGCACAGUGGGGACAGGGUUUCUCUGUGAUAUCUGGGUCUCAAGGGGAAGGUUCAACAUCUGGGGAUGAGUCAACAGCUGGGGACAAGAAUCACCUGGAUUUCCACCUAGACUGGAACACCUGCAUGUGAGCUUUCUGUGUGUGCUAGGAUUUCUCAUAGCAUGGUGACCUUGCAUAGCCAGACUUCUUUCUUGUAAGUUCGGGCUUCAAAGACAGCAUCUCCCUUCCACUAAGGCUGGACUGUAGCAGCAUAAUCAUGGCUCACUGCAGCCUCAAACUCCUGGGCUCAAGCAAUCCUCCUGCCUUAGCCACCCAAGUAGCUGGGAUGACAGAGGCAUGCCACCACACGUGGUUCCUAGCAAACUUCUUAAUAUCCUCAUGAGUUAUUGGGAUAGACUGAUUGCAGAAACAGCCACAAUCCUCCAUCCCUCCCAGUCCACGCCCUCUGCAUCAUCAAUCCACACUCUCUGCAAUGUGACUGUGUAGCUCCUCCUGCCAAGAGACAGAAUCAAUUUCCCCACCCUUUGAAUAUGGGCCGGCCCUGAAAUUGCUUUAAACAAUGUUUAUUGAAAGUGACAAUGUGCCAACUCCAUACUUUGGUCUUAAGAAGCCUCGUGUCUUCCACUUUCUCUCUUAAACCCCUGCUUCUGCCAUGAGAACAAGCUGUGUCUAGCCAAUGGAGAAUGAAAGAUCACACACAGCAGAGCUGAAUUGUCCCAGCAGAGGCCACCCCCGGCCUGCCAGCCUCCAGCCAACCUGCGAGCAGACCUGAGAUGCAUAAGCAACCAGACUCACGAGAAAUAAUACAUGUUGUUUUAAGGCA